ensembl:lncRNA
AGAAUUCCAACCAGUUUAGCAGUUUUAAAACUGUUCAGACUAUACAUACUCCAGCAUUUAUUUAAAAACCGCUAAUACACCAAUAGAAGAAGAAUAAAUUGACUACUUUAAAAUGGAGCUAGCCCCCAAUGGUGUUGCCCAUGCUGUAACAGAAGACGCCUUUACGAAGAUAAAGGGGGUGCUAUUUUUCCAUAUCUAUGAUCAAUCAAUAAACAAACAUGUUGCCACUUCAAUUACUAGCUCAAAGACAACCCUGAUCCCAAAUCAUCCCAAGAAACUAUUCAAGUAUCCCACAGGGUGAUUGCGCCCUCUCCUGGCAAGGAUUGGUCACACGUCAACCCUGACAAAAAUCCCCCUGAGCCCCAGACACGAGUGGGCCAUGCUACUGCUGGAGAAGGCUUGGUUAAAAGCCCACUUCAAUCACGCCAAAGGGGAACGCCCCCCAACCCGCCGUGCCCAUUCUGCCCAGAUAUAUAACCCGACAAUGACCCAAAACACACCUCCAGGCUGCUCUGUCUGUACACGUUGCUAACGUGUGUGGGAGGUCUAUGGCAGAGUGGGAUGGUAGACCCAAACUCUCACUGCGACGGUUCUUCUCCUUCGUUGGGCUGCACAGUGUGGGCAGGCUGGUGAAGGGAGGGUGCUCCAGCAGCAUGGAACAGCUCAGUAUCUCAGCGCCUCUGGCCAGCUCCGCCCCACCCACAGGCUUCACCCCAACGCCUGCCAGCAGACGACCCCCUCACGACAGGCACUGUGCACAGUAAGCACCAGUCCUUCAAUUCAGGUGUCCCCACUGGCCCAGCUUCGUAAGCCUCCUCUGUGCAGAGUCUGGAGAGGAGAGUGGAGCGUUCAACCAUUCUGGGAGAGGUGCCCGUGCCUUAAAGCCUGGCACCCAGGUGUGUAUGUGGAGCAGGUAGGGGACGGUUCCUGGGCGCUGAGGGGGAUGAGAUCCUGGAGGUGAAUGGGGAGGCGGUGGCUGGACUGACCCUGGAUCAGGUGUCAGGUCUCAUGACACGCAACAGCACCGCCUCUAUCCAUAUAUCCUGCCACUCGUCGGAACCAGCGAUGAGCAAUGCAAUACUGGAAUAUUCCAUUAUCCAUUUCAAUAAAUUAAAAAACACUGGACACUGCCCUGUGAUGAUGUCAUGACAAAAACACGAGAAUGGAAAUAAGCAAGCAUAAUGAGAGAUUUUUUUUAACUCUGGGAGAACCAAAGGAAGGACAUAAUCAACCUAAUUAUAUUUGUCCAUUAUUAGGCCUAGUCUUUGAAGAUUCCCUCAAAUGUAACUACCGGUCAAUCAAAACUGAUGACAAAUAAAAC